CUUGCUUCUCUUGAGAGCGGCGGACGGGUGAGUAAUGCCUAGGAAUCUGCCUGGUAGUGGGGGAUAACGUUCGGAAACGGACGCUAAUACCGCAUACGUCCUACGGGAGAAAGCAGGGGACCUUCGGGCCUUGCGCUAUCAGAUGAGCCUAGGUCGGAUUAGCUAGUUGGUGGGGUAAUGGCUCACCAAGGCGACGAUCCGUAACUGGUCUGAGAGGAUGAUCAGUCACACUGGAACUGAGACACGGUCCAGACUCCUACGGGAGGCAGCAGUGGGGAAUAUUGGACAAUGGGCGAAAGCCUGAUCCAGCCAUGCCGCGUGUGUGAAGAAGGUCUUCGGAUUGUAAAGCACUUUAAGUUGGGAGGAAGGGUUGUAGAUUAAUACUCUGCAAUUUUGACGUUACCGACAGAAUAAGCACCGGCUAACUCUGUGCCAGCAGCCGCGGUAAUACAGAGGGUGCAAGCGUUAAUCGGAAUUACUGGGCGUAAAGCGCGCGUAGGUGGUUUGUUAAGUUGGAUGUGAAAUCCCCGGGCUCAACCUGGGAACUGCAUUCAAAACUGACUGACUAGAGUAUGGUAGAGGGUGGUGGAAUUUCCUGUGUAGCGGUGAAAUGCGUAGAUAUAGGAAGGAACACCAGUGGCGAAGGCGACCACCUGGACUAAUACUGACACUGAGGUGCGAAAGCGUGGGGAGCAAACAGGAUUAGAUACCCUGGUAGUCCACGCCGUAAACGAUGUCAACUAGCCGUUGGAAGCCCUUGAGCUUUUAGUGGCGCAGCUAACGCAUUAAGUUGACCGCCUGGGGAGUACGGCCGCAAGGUUAA
rnacentral:rRNA from 1 species